rnacentral:rRNA from 1 species
GACAGAGGGGGCAAGCGUUGCUCGGAAUUACUGGGCGUAAAGGGCGCGUAGGCGGGAUGGCAAGUCGGUCGUGAAAUCCCUCGGCUCAACCGAGGAACGUCGAUCGAUACUGCUGUUCUUGAGGAUUGCAGAGGAGACUGGAAUUCCCGGUGUAGCGGUGAAAUGUGUAGAUAUCGAGAGGAACACCUGCGGCGAAGGCGGGUUGCUGGGCUGACACUGACGCUGACAGCGCGAAAGCUAGGGGAGCGAACGGG